ensembl:snoRNA SNORA73 Small nucleolar RNA SNORA73 family
CCGACAUGGACAUCUGGGGGCGUGGCCUCCAGCUCUGUCCUGGUGGCCAAUGGGAGCGCAGCUCUGAGCCGUGACGUCCAAUCCCGUUCCACAAUGUCAGACAGUAAGCUCCGCCCCUGGCUGCCGGUCGGCCGGCGCGGUGAGCGUCCUGCAUAUUCCUACGCCUUCCCAGAGUCCUUUGGGCCGUUACUGGGGAGACAAACCAUGCAGGACACAGAA